AUGAGAGCAAAGCGGAGGUGCUGGAAUGGAGUGGAACGGCAUAGUCUCUUCGGGAGUCCAGAGGAGAAAGUUUGGCCGCCGCGUGAGGGAGGAAGGAAGAAGAACUCAUUCACGUGGAAGUUGUACCGUCAAUCUCUAAACCCUAUCCUUUUGUCCAAUACGUUGCCGUUUUGUAAAUAUACAAUUUUAUGUCAUUUAUUUGUUAAUCAUAAUAGUAAUUCAUCAAUUAAUGGCUGA